UUGAGUGUAGGAGAGGAAAGUGGAAUUCCACGUGUAGCGGUGAAAUGCGUAGAGAUGUGGAGGAACACCAGUGGCGAAGGCGACUUUCUGGCCUAUAACUGACGCUGAGGCGCGAAAGCGUGGGGAGCAAACAGGAUUAGAUACCCUGGUAGUCCACGCCGUAAACGAUGAGUGCUAGGUGUUAGGGGUUUCGAUACCCUUAGUGCCGACGUUAACACAUUAAGCACUCCGCCUGGGGAGUACGGCCGCAAGGCUGAA
rnacentral:rRNA from 1 species